rnacentral:rRNA from 1 species
AGUGGGGGAUAACGUAGCGAAAGUUACGCUAAUACCGCAUAUGCCCUGAGGGGGAAAGGAGGGGAUCGUAAGACCUUUCGCUUUCGGAGUGGCCGAUAUCAGAUUAGCUAGUUGGUGAGGUAAAGGCUCACCAAGGCGACGAUCUGUAGCGGGUCUGAGAGGAUGAUCCGCCACACUGGGACUGAGACACGGCCCAGACUCCUACGGGGGGCAGCAGUGGGGAAUUUUGGACAAUGGGGGCAACCCUGAUCCAGCCAUGCCGCGUGAGUGAAGAAGGCCUUCGGGUUGUAAAGCUCUUUCAGCCGGAAAGAAAUCAUGCUUACUAAUACUAAGUGUGGAUGACGGUACCGGAAGAAGAAGCACCGGCUAACUACGUGCCAGCAGCCGCGGUAAUACGUAGGGUGCGAGCGUUAAUCGGAAUUACUGGGCGUAAAGCGUGCGCAGGCGGUUUUUUAAGACAGACGUGAAAUCCCCGGGCUUAACCUGGGAACUGCGUUUGUGACUGGAAGGCUAGAGUGCGGCAGAGGGGGGUAGAAUUCCA